rnacentral:rRNA from 1 species
GCAUCCUGGUGGCGAGUGGCGAACGGGUGAGUAAUAUAUCGGAACGUGCCCAGUCGUGGGGGAUAACGCAGCGAAAGCUGUGCUAAUACCGCAUACGAUCUAUGGAUGAAAGCGGGGGAUCGCAAGACCUCGCGCGAUUGGAGCGGCCGAUAUCAGAUUAGGUAGUUGGUGGGGUAAAAGCUCACCAAGCCGACGAUCUGUAGCUGGUCUGAGAGGACGACCAGCCACACUGGAACUGAGACACGGUCCAGACUCCUACGGGAGGCAGCAGUGGGGAAUUUUGGACAAUGGGCGCAAGCCUGAUCCAGCAAUGCCGCGUGCAGGAUGAAGGCCUUCGGGUUGUAAACUGCUUUUGUACGGAACGAAACGGUCCUUUCUAAUACAAGGGGCUAAUGACGGUACCGUAAGAAUAAGCACCGGCUAAC